rnacentral:sRNA from 1 species
AUCAGCUCUUACCAAAUGAGCUAUUCAUGAUAGAUUUAGUUCAAGUUUAACCUCAGUUAUCUUUCGAUACCCUUCGUUUAGCCUCUGCGACAGCUUUUCCUUAAUACCCAUAAUAGCUUUUGUUAUCAGCAAUUAAUUAAUCGAAAAUUUAAUACUUAGAGGUAUCUAUGUCUAAUAAAGUAACUGGUUCAGUAAAAUGGUUUAACGAAACUAAAGGUUUCGGUUUUAUUUCUCAAGACAACGGUGGUAACGAUGUGUUUGUUCACUUCAACUCUAUCGUUUCAACAGGUUUUAAAACUUUGGCAGAAGGCCAACGCGUAACAUUUGAAGUUGAGCAAGGCAAAAAAGGCCCACAAGCUGCAAACGUAACUGCGCUAUAAUUUUAAUGGCGUGGUCAUCACGGCCACGCCAUCUCC